rnacentral:lncRNA from 1 species
CGAAGAAUCGAAAAUUAUUUGAAUUUGCGGAUGUUACUGACUGUUGAUACCAGUCUUUGCUUUACAAUUUUGCAUUGUCACACUUUUGCACUUUUUUUUUUCUUUCUCCUUUCGCUGAGCAGGGAUAAUUUCGUUGCUUUUGAUUCUCUCGCACUUGUUGAACUCUCCCAAUCUUCUAAUUGCUAUGUUUGAUCCUCAUCUGACAA